AUGAACGCUGGCGGCGUGCCUAAUACAUGCAAGUCGCGCGAACAGACGAGGAGCUUGCUCCUCUGACGUUAGCGGCGGACGGGUGGGUAACACGUGGAUAACCUACCUAUAAGACUGGGAUAACUUCGGGAAACCGGAGCUAAUACCGGAUAAUAUAUUGAACCGCAUGGUUCAAUAGUGAAAGACGGUUUUGCUGUCACUUAUAGAUGGAUCCGCGCCGCAUUAGCUAGUUGGUAAGGUAACGGCUUACCAAGGCAACGAUGCGUAGCCGACCUGAGAGGGUGAUCGGCCACACUGGAACUGAGACACGGUCCAGACUCCUACGGGAGGCAGCAGUAGGGAAUCUUCCGCAAUGGGCGAAAGCCUGACGGAGCAACGCCGCGUGAGUGAUGAAGGUCUUCGGAUCGUAAAACUCUGUUAUUAGGGAAGAACAAAUGUGUAAGUAACUAUGCACGUCUUGACGGUACCUAAUCAGAAAGCCACGGCUAACUACGUG
rnacentral:rRNA from 1 species